AAUUUAAAAAAAAUAACGGAAGAGAUUCAACGGGCAAGGAGGCGCCAUGUGUCAGUUAGCGGGACUGCAGCGAGACUGCAGCGAGACUGCAGCGGAUGAAUGUAGGGGGUGCGUUUAUUACGCGGGGGCAAAAUAUUCAAAUUUUUACGACUGAAGUUGUGGGGCGGGGAGUUUAUUAUGAGAGUGUGAUCUUUAUGCGAGUAAAUACAGUAAAUUAGAAUAUCUUUCAUGGCAAAAUAUUUUAUUUGGCAAUAGGUCUGAUAAAAAAUCUGGUGUUCCUAUCCUUCAUAUUAGACAUAGCAAUGACUAGUAAGCAUGCAGGUCAAAUUAUUUAUUUAUUUACAGAUUGCCUACUUCGCCAUGUUGUCAUUACAUGUGGGGGGACAAAAGCAUAACCAGUAGUGAAGGGAACCCACCACAGCCAUUUGCUACUACUCUCAAUCACGCAUGCAUUUCAAUUUCUCUUGUUCAAGCAGGAUCUAGUGCCAGAAAGCAUAUGAUGGGGUCAUAGGUUGGCAACAAACUGAACAUUACUACUUGUGCUACCGGCAAUAUCCAAAAGUAGAAAACGAGAAUGAAUCCAUUUUUUUUAUGCUACUGGUUAAUCUAGGCAUCUGAAAAAUCAUACAGAAUGGGAGCUUAUCAAUGAAAUAAUACUUUAUUGACAUUCUGUGUAAACAAUGCUUUUUAAAGCAUGCUGUACACAUUUAUAUGCCAUAUUUUUGUAAUGCCAUAGAAAUAACCGGCAAAUUUGACUUGCAACCGCAUCUGCUUUACAGUUUGACUUUUGACUCUGUGCAAAAUACUGGAAAAGGCUUGAUGUGCUGGUGUAAGACAAUGCAUUAUUUGCCACAAUUUGAAGCUGUGAAGAAAUGGUAUUAGGCUAAGUAGUAGUAUUACAGUUGUGGUAGUCAAGCUUGUUUAGUCCUAUUGCAAUCAAGUAUUGGUAGGUGGAACACAAUUACAGAACAGUGCAACAUUUCCUUCAAGUGUGUGAAACGAGACCAGUGAAAAAAUGGCAAUGACCCGGUGGAAUUUUCGCUGCUGCUUCAUAUUUUUAUUGCUCUUACUGCGUAUAAUAGCCUUUGAAGUGUGCAUCAUGUAUAGUGUCGAAACCGUGAUUUGCAAAGAAACUUGUUGCUGUGAAAUGCAAGGUCUGCAAAUUGUAAAUUGGCGUGAAGAACCAAUUAUUCUGUAUUUUAGUCAUUGUUUGCUAAAUUGUUUUGUUGAUUUUUUUGCGUGUCAUUUUUUUAUUUUAGUGGAGUCUUUAAUGUUGUUGAGCCUUUGCAUUGACGAUCGCAAAUGUGAUUGGAUUUUAUUUAUAAAGGCAUUGGUUCUGAGACGCCGGCAAACGGCAACAUUUCACAGAUCGAGCAGUCAUAAGAUUCAUAUUCUAGUAAUGACAUGCUAUGGCAUGGUGCUAGGGAAUCAUGAGAAACAUGGUGCCACAUAUGUGUUAUUCCUCUCCCUCCCCAGUUCUCUUAAUUGUUUUUUAUAUGUGUACGUGUUGCGUGUUCAUUCCGUAGAUGUUCAAUGAAGCGCAUGGUUGACCCAUUUAUUGUGAUAUGCCUUUAGGUUAUAUUGUUUCAUUGUUCAGUGGGAUGUAAUUGCUGGCUGUUUACUUUUCUAACUUAUUGCCUCUCUGUAUGUCUGGUGUUAAAUUUGUGCAGUCUUUUUUUUUUCCUGGUUUAGUGUGCAUCUGAAAAAACGAACACAAUCCAAAUGUUGUCACUUGGAACUGUGAAUCUCAGUGGCUCUUUUUAGAACUCUUAUUAUUGUCACCUCCUUUGCAUAAGAAACACAUGUGCUGACACUCUUAGUGUGUUAGGUGUAAGCUGUUUGAAUAAUGCAAGAAAAGUGCACUGGCAAUGAUGUCCUAUAAUGAGGAUAUGCAGAAAGCAGCACCAUUUUCCUCACAUCCAGCUGUGGAAGCAGACUUUUCAGCCUUUCACAGUAUUGCCUAAAUAAUGUUCUUGUAGCUGGCUCCCUAUAUCCAGAACUUAAGCAUGUGCAAAUUCGCAUUUGUACAAAGUGAUGCUCUUGAUUUGCGAGCACGGUUUCAUCAAGUUUCUGGGAAAAGUCACUUGAUGGCCUACAGUGCUGGUGCACAAAAUAUUUUUUGGUGUCAGUGGUUUGAAUUAAUAUUGAGCUAUGCACUUUUAUACCCCAUGAAGCCUCAUCCUCUUUGAGUCAUUUUACAGGUGCAGACGCAGAGUUCUGAAUCGAAUAGUAUUUUCGAUAAAACGGAAAAGGUUCUUAAAAUUGCAGUGCAAAAUGGAGCAUUCCUAAAAAAUUUUUGUGUGCACUUUGAGAAUGCCCUUGGUUGAAGUGACACAUGCACACAGUGCAUUUCAUUUUGAUGAGGCAACUUUUUGCAUAUCCUCGGCUUUUAAUAUCCUCUUUCUUUUACUGCCCAGUUUGCAAAUCUUUGUGUGUGGUUGUGGUGCAUUAUGCAGCUUGUUUCUUCCUUCUGUGCACAUGUGUAUGCAAAUGAGGAGUCUAUAUCGGAAAUCAAAAGUCUUCUCGCACACAUCUCUGUAUCCCGUCUUGCCGUUCUUGACCAGCCCUCUUGUUUUCUUCAUAUCAUUGAAACAUCCCUCCGUCUUUUUAAUCUGUACAUACGAAUGACAUACCGCUGAGCCUGUGUUUUUUUAUAACAGUGGUAACAGCGAGGGGAGAGAGAGCGUGAAAAGAAAAAAAGCAAAAAGAAUUUAGAAACUGUGUGCCUUUGGUACACCUAUUUUCUAGACUUUUUUAUAGUUUGUAUACUGUGGGGCCUAACCCAAUUUAAUAAAGAUUUGCUUUGCAUUGGCUUGUUUCUUUUCAGCACACGACACCCACUACUCACAUAUCAUAAGGCACUAUCUGCUUCCAAUUCUAUUUCUCGGACCGCUGAACGUCUGCAUGAAACGUUUGUACAAGAUGAGUGCAUUGCUUCACGCUUUCACCAUACCAAAUGGAAAGUUUUAAUAAAUAACUCAACUGCA